AUGAAUGUCAUCUUUAAGAUUUCUAUAAAGGUGACAACUAACCAGUCGAAUGGGGUGGUUGACCAUGUGGUCUACUCCGCUCAAACAUCGUUCAUACCAGGACGAAAUAUACUCGAUGGGAUUGUUGUCCUACAUGAGACUAUAUGUGAGCUUCAAAAAUGUCGAGCAGAGUCAUCUUCAAAAUUGAUUUUGAGAAUGCCUACAAUGAGAGUGAGGUGGCCCUCGGGUUCUCACCAAAAUGGUGUAGAUGUGUUGAUGAUUAGUCCCUUUAGUAAUCUGGUAAAGAAGCAGAAAGGAUUCUCGCCUUUUCCCCAUACGUGA
rnacentral:rRNA from 1 species